GAUGAACGCUGGCGGCGUGCCUAAUACAUGCAAGUCGAGCGAACAGACGAGGAGCUUGCUCCUCUGACGUUAGCGGCGGACGGGUGAGUAACACGUGGAUAACCUACCUAUAAGACUGGGAUAACUUCGGGAAACCGGAGCUAAUACCGGAUAAUAUAUUGAACCGCAUGGUUUAAUAGUGAAAGACGGUUUUGCUGUUACUUAUAGAUGGAUCCGCGCCGCCUUAGCUAGUUGGUAAGGUAACGGCUUACCAAGGCAACGAUGCGUAGCCGACCUGAGAGCGUGAUCGGCCACACUGGAUCUGAGACACGGUCCAGACUCCUGCGGGAGGCAGCCGUAGGGAAUCUUCCGCAAUGGGCGCAUGCCUGACGGAGCAACGCCGCGUGAGUGAUGAAGGUCUUCGGAUCGUAAAACUCUGUUAUUAGGGAAGAACAAAUGUGUAAGUAACUAUGCACGUCUUGACGGUACCUAAUCAGAAAGCCACGGCUAACUACGUG
rnacentral:rRNA from 1 species